rnacentral:rRNA from 1 species
CUACGGGGGGCACCAGUGGGGAAUAUUGCGCAAUGGGCGAAAGCCUGACGCAGCAAUGCCGCGUGAGUGAAGAAGGCCCUCGGGUCGUAAAGCUCUUUUCUCAGGGAAGAUAAUGACGGUACCUGAGGAAUAAGCACCGGCUAACUACGUGCCAGCAGCCGCGGUAAUACGUAGGGUGCAAGCGUUGUUCGGAAUUACUGGGCGUAAAGGGCGUGUAGGCGGAGGAGCAAGCUGGAGGUGAAAGUCUGUGGCUCAACCAUAGAAGUGCUUCCAGAACUGCUUUUCUAGAGAAAGUUAGAGGUCAGCGGAAUUCCUGGUGUAGAGGUGAAAUUCGUAGAUAUCAGGAGGAACACCGGCGGCGAAAGCGGCUGGCUGGGGCUUUUCUGACGCUGAGGCGCGAAAGCGUGGGGAGCAAACAGGAUUAGAUACCCGCGUAGUC